GCGAUGAAGGACGUGGUAGUCUGCGAUAAGCCUCGGGGAGCUGACAAACUAGCUAUGAUCCGGGGAUUUCCGAAUGGGGAAACCCACCUCGUAAGGGGUAUCGUCACCUGAAUACAUAGGGUGGCGAGGCGAUACCCGGUGAACUGAAACAUCUAAGUAACCGGAGGAAAAGAAAUCAAUUGAGAUUCCGUCAGUAGCGGCGAGCGAACGCGGAUUAGCCCAGUCRGUAUGGUUUAGU
rnacentral:ncRNA from 1 species